ACCAGAUGACAGGGGGUUCGGAUAUAUAUCAAGAUCCAGGUAAUAAACCAGAUGACAGGGGGUUCGGAUAUAUCAAGAUCCAGGAAAUAAACCAGAUGACAGGGGGUUCGGAUAUAUCAAGAUCCAGGUAAUAAACCAGAUGACAGGGGGUUCGGAUAUAUCAAGAUCCAGGCAAUAAACCCCACCAACAAUAUUAAUUACUUCAAGUGUCAUCAAACAAAAUAUUUAAAAUGAAACAAUGUUUGCCAAACUUUAAAGAACCAAAAUUUAAAUCCCCAACCCCCCCCC